rnacentral:sRNA from 1 species
GCGGCCGCCGCCCUCGCCACCCCGCCUGCCCACUCCCGCCGCCGCCCCGCUCUCGCUUUCCCCCCGGCCUCCCCUCGCCCCUUCUUCCCCUCCCCCUUCCCGGCGCACUCGGGGGGCUGGGAACGAGCUGCCAUGUGAUGCGCGUCCCCUCCGCAAGCUUUCGGUGACCCACGAACUGCCCACCUCGCCGGCUGCCGGGAGGGGGCUGCGAGCCGGGAAGACGCGGGGAAGAGGAGGCGGAAAAGGACGCAAAGUUCUCCGGCGAGCGCGUUCAUUCACAUAGCUCCCAGUUUUAACAUUUCGCCACCUACUGAAGACAUCAUUUGGGACCAAGCUGAUGAGCCCUUGAAGCACAGCAGUGCAGCUGUCUGCUUCAGAAAGUGAGGGCUCCAGGAAUGAGGAGAAUCUUCAAGAGCUGCCUCGCACUGUGACAUGUCUGAUCCCUUGCUCCCAUCCCUGCAGCAUGAACAAGGUGGACACUCACUGACCUGUCACAAGGUUGCCCCACAAAACUUUGGGGUCCAUGUCUGAAUGGAUUGCCAGAGCCUUCUCAUCUCUCCCUUCGCCCAGUUCCCUGCAUCCUAAGACUCGAAGCCAGCACAGGACCUGGAAAAAUUACAU